CCUACGGGUGGCAGCAGUGAGGAAUAUUGGUCAAUGGACGAGCGUCUGAACCAGCCAAGUAGCGUGAAGGAUGACUGCCCUAUGGGUUGUAAACUUCUUUUAUAAAGGAAUAAAACGAGGCACGUGUGCCUUUUUGCAUGUACUUUAUGAAUAAGGAUCGGCUAACUCCGUGCCAGCAGCCGCGGUAAUACGGAGGAUCCGAGCGUUAUCCGGAUUUAUGGGGGUUCACGGGCGCGUAGAUGGGUUGUUACGUCCGGUGUGAAAGUUUGCGGCUCAACCGUAAAAUUGCAAUUGAUACUGGCAGUCGUGAGUACAGUUGAGGUAGGCGGAAUUCGUGGUGUAGCGGUGAAAUGCUUAGAUAUCACGAAGAACCCCGAUUGCGAAGGCAGCUUACGAAACUGUGACUGACAGGGAUGCUCGAAAGUGGGGGUAUCAAACAGGAGUAGAUACCCUGGUAGUC
rnacentral:rRNA from 1 species